rnacentral:rRNA from 1 species
AUUGAACGCUGGCGGCAGGCUUAACACAUGCAAGUCGAGCGGGGUGAUGGUGCUUGCACUAUCACUUAGCGGCGGACGGGUGAGUAAUGCUUAGGAAUCUGCCUAUUAGUGGGGGACAACAUCUCGAAAGGGAUGCUAAUACCGCAUACGUCCUACGGGAGAAAGCAGGGGAUCACUUGUGACCUUGCGCUAAUAGAUGAGCCUAAGUCGGAUUAGCGAGUUGGUGGGGUAAAGGCCUACCAAGGCGACGAUCGGUAGCGGGUCUGAGAGGAUGAUCCGCCACGCUGGGGCUGAGACACGGCCCAGACUCCUACGGGAGGCAGCAGGGGGGAAUAUUGGACAAUGGGGGGAACCCUGAUCCAGCCAUGCGGCGUGUGUGAAGAAGGCCUUAUGGUUGUAAAGCACUUUAAGCGAGGAGGAGGCUCUUUUGGUUAAUACCCAAGAUAAGUGGACGUUACUCGCAGAAUAAGCACCGGCUAACUCUGUGCCAGCCGCCGCAGUAA